rnacentral:rRNA from 1 species
UGGGGAAUCUUGGACAAUGGGGGCAACCCUGAUCCAGCCAUGCCGCGUGAGUGAUGAAGGCCUUAGGGUCGUAAAGCUCUUUCGCCUGUGAAGAUAAUGACGGUAGCAGGUAAAGAAACCCCGGCUAACUCCGUGCCAGCAGCCGCGGUAAUACGGAGGGGGUUAGCGUUGUUCGGAAUUACUGGGCGUAAAGCGCACGUAGGCGGACCAGAAAGUUGGGGGUGAAAUCCCGGGGGCUCAACCCCGGAACUGCCUCCAAAACUAUUGGUCUAGAGUUCGAGAGAGGUGAGUGGAAUUCCAAGUGUAGAGGUGAAAUUCGUAGAUAUUUGGAGGAACACCAGUGGCGAAGGCGGCUCACUGGCUCGAUACUGACGCUGAGGUGCGAAAGUGUGGGGAGCAAACAGGAUUAGAUACCCUGGUAGUCCACACCGUAAAACGAUGAAUGCCAGUCGUCGGGUAGCAUGCUAUUCGGU